rnacentral:rRNA from 1 species
AUGGAGAAGAUGCUCUGCUCCAACCCUCCCUGCCUCCUACUACAAGAUGUCUUUUUUGUGUGUGCUUGUAUUGCAGCAGCCAUGUGCGUAUCAAAAAAAGGGUCCAGUUUGCAGCAGUCACAUGAUGUGAACAUGUUUUUUCAUCACAAUUGGAUUUUUGGAUUUACUAGGCCAAUUGGUGGUUGUUGUUGUUGUUGUUGUUUUAGCAGCAGCAGCAGCAGCAGGCCGAGUGACGGUGGUGGCUGUGUGCAGGCCAUGGAGGCGAUGAUGAGCACGAGGGGAAGGCUGCUGCUUCAACCCCGUUAA